CUACGGGUGGCUCCAGUGAGGAAUUUUGCGCAAUGGGGGGAACCCUGACGCAGCAACGCCGCGUGAGUGAUGAAGGCUUUCGGGUCGUAAAGCUCUGUCAAGUGGGAAGAACCUAUGCAGUGUUAAUAUCACUGUAUACUGACGGUACCACUGAAGGAAGCACCGGCUAACUCCGUGCCAGCAGGCCGCGGUAAUACGGGGGGUGCAAGCGUUAUUCGGAAUCAUUGGGCGUAAAGGGCACGUAGGCGGCUUGGUAAGUCAGAUGUGAAAGCCCGGGGCUUAACCCCGGAAGUGCAUUUGAUACUGUCAGGCUUGAGUAUGGGAGAGGGAAGUGGAAUUCCUGGUGUAGAGGUGAGAUUCGUAGAUAUCAGGAGGAACACCGGUGGCGAAGGCGACUUCCUGGACCAAUACUGACGCUGAGGUGCGAAGGCGUGGGUAGCAAACAGGAUUAGAUACCCGGGUAGUC
rnacentral:rRNA from 1 species